rnacentral:rRNA from 1 species
CAACUCGACUGCACGAAGCUGGAAUCGCUAGUAAUCGCGGAUCAGCAUGCCGCGGCGAAUACGUUCCCGGGUCUUGUACACACCGCCCGUCACACCAUGGGAGCCGGUAAUACCCGAAGUCAGUAGUUUAACCCUUGUGGAGGACGCUGCCGAAGGUAGGAUUGGGCGACUGGGGUGAAGUCGUAACAAGGUAAC